GAGUAAUCCAGGUCAGUUUCUAUCUAUGAAGAACCCCCUCCUAGUACGAAAGGACCGGAGAGGGGAGGCCAAUGCCUUACGCACGCCUCACCCUUACUUGAUGAAAACAACUAAAACGAGCAAGAGAACACACUUCCUUCGUUCCAAGAUAAUGACAU
rnacentral:rRNA from 1 species